rnacentral:tRNA from 1 species
GGCGCUGUAAGCCUAAUAGGUAAGGCAACGGUUUGCUAAACCGUGAGUAGCUGGGUGACCGGUGUGCUGGUUCGAGUCCGGCCAGCGUCG